rnacentral:rRNA from 1 species
AUUGAACGCUGGCGGCAGGCCUAACACAUGCAAGUCGAACGGUAACAGGAAGAAGCUUGCUUCUUUGCUGACGAGUGGCGGACGGGUGAGUAAUGUCUGGGAAACUGCCUGAUGGAGGGGGACAACUACUGGAAACGGUAGCUAAUACCGCAUAACGUCGCAAGACCAAAGAGGGGGACCUUCGGGCCUCUUGCCAUCGGAUGUGCCCAGAUGGGAUUAGCUAGUAGGUGGGGUAACGGCUCACCUAGGCGACGAUCCCUAGCUGGUCUGAGAGGAUGACCAGCCACACUGGAACUGAGACACGGUCCAGACUCCUACGGGAGGCAGCAGUGGGGAAUAUUGCACAAUGGGCGCAAGCCUGAUGCAGCCAUGCCGCGUGUAUGAAGAAGGCCUUCGGGUUGUAAAGUACUUUCAGCGGGGAGGAAGGGAGUAAAGUUAAUACCUUUACUCAUUGACGUUACCCGCAGAAGAAGCACCGGCUAACUCCGUG